UCUACCUAAAGAUAUCACAGGUGUGGCUCCUCUGUCACACAUAUAUCAAUUAGUGGCAGAAAAGAAAAAGUCUAUGUCUGUGCUCAGUGUUCUGACCUGUCAACAUCUGAAUUAGUAGCCUAACAUU
ensembl:snoRNA Gm26145 small nucleolar RNA SNORA17